rnacentral:rRNA from 1 species
UACGUAGGCAGCGAGCGUUGUUCGGAGUUACUGGGCGUAAAGAGUGCGUAGGCGGUGUUCCAAGUCUGUUGUGAAAUCUCCCGGCUCAACUGGGAGGGUGCGGCGGAAACUGGGACGCUGGAGUACGGGAGAGGUAAGCGGAAUUCCUGGUGUAGCGGUGAAAUGCGUAGAUAUCAGGAGGAACACCUGCGGUGUAGACGGCUUACUGGACGGUAACUGACGCUGAGGCACGAAAGCGUGGGUAGCAAACAGG